rnacentral:lncRNA from 8 species
GUUCUAGAGAGGAGGUCACCCAUGAACAACAACCAUGGAGGGGAACAUGAUUACAACAGCGGGGACCGGAACCGGAGCUGACUCUGUAACCAUGGUAACAGGUCCCACUGGCACCCCGGAUCUCCAGGUUCUGACCCACAGAGUGAAGCUUCUAGAGCACAGCCUGAGAGACAACGUCAGCUCCUUCACUGAGUCUGAGAGCGCUCUGCACAACAGGAUUAGAGAGUUGGAGGUGUCAGAACAGAGCCUGCUACAGAAGGUGGAGGACCUUACUGCCAACUCAGUCCUCCACUGCCCCAGCAUGCUGCAGCGCCAGAGGCUGGACGAGCGGCUCCACACGCUGAGGGAGGAGGUACGCUCCAUGUCCCAGGAGAAGGAGCGUGGGGAUCGUGUGUGGAGGGAGAGGCUGCGGCGCUGCCAGGCCCAGCUCAGGGCUAAAGAAGAGGAGAUGGGCCGCCAGUCUCAGUACUUUGAGCACUUUAAGAGCCAGCUGCACCACAAGCUAGACCUGGCCAGAGACAGGGAGCAGGGCCUGCAGACCAGACUCCACCAGCUGGAGCGACAGGUGCUGGAGAUGAACGUAUCUGCUGCCACCUACAUAGUCCCUGUCAACACAGCUAGCACCAACUCCGUUACUGCAGCCAAUGUCAAUCCCAUCAUAGUACCAACCUCAGGCCAACAGAGAACAGAGACAGAGAGACUGCCCCACCCAAGGGAGGAAGGAGAAGGAGAGGAGGAGGACGGUGAGGAGAAGACACAGCGGAGACACUACGGACAACAGCUCCAGCAGAAGCAGGGAGCGGAUGAUAGAGAAAUAGAGGGAGAAAGAGAGGGGGAGGAAGAGGGUGAGAGUCUGGGGGGUGAGGCUAGACUGAGAAGCUUCAUCCUCAGCCUCCAGGAGGACCUCCGGGGUCUGCUGGAGAGGGAGGAGCAGGAGCUGGCGGAGCAGAGGGGGCUGAUGGAACAGCUGCAGGAAGCGCAGGAGAACAACCACUUCUUGUCCUGUACGUUGGAGGAGAUGAGGACGGUGGUCCACAGACUGAAGCUGACAGAGAGCUCCCUGAUGGAGGAGGUGGAGGAGCUGCAAGAGGAGAACCAGAGACUGUGUCAGAGGCUCAGCCACACCCUGAGACAGACCAACCACAGCCUGGGUUCUACUGACCCCAGCCCUGUCUCUACCCCCAGCCUGGCUACCUCCCUGACAAACGCCCCUGGCCUGAGUCAACCAGUUCCCUGCUCUGUGGACAACACUGACCCGGUGAAGAUGAUCCCAGGCCAGUCUUCACUAGACACACCUCCCUCUGCUCAUCACCAUGGAGCAACAGAGAGGUCACAGGAAAACUCCACUCUGCCUCUGCCCCAGCCGGACCUCCUGAACCUCUCAGGCCACCGUAGCCAGAACCCCUGCCUCAUAUCCCUGGGUACUAAGAGCAUUGAGGGUCUGGGGGAGUUGACCCUGAGGGACUGGUGUCCUGGUCCUGGGGGCGUCCCCUCUCUAAACCUGGAGGAGGGGACAAGCGAGGAGACUGAGGCCCUGAGAGAGGCUUACAGGAGCAUGGGGGGCGACAUGGACUCACUCCGGGACCACAGGGACCAGCUGGAGAGCACGCUACGACACACACAGGACCAGCUGCACAGGGUGACCGAGGAGAACGCCCAACUGAAAUGUAAACUCAGGGCGCAGGGAGAAACAGGGGCCUGCGAGGUGGAGCAGGGGUCCUCGCUUGUAGGCGAGAGCAUGACAAAUGUCCAGGAAAACAAGGUGCCAACUCCAAACCUAAUACCCCAGGGGAGCAGAGAGCUCACUGCAACUCCAUAUCAGAAUGAUACUAUCCUAGCCUUAGCCCAGGAUGACCUGUCCCUGUAUGCCUUAGCCCAGGAUGACCUAGCCCUAGCCUUGAACCAGGAGAACCGGGCCCUGGGCAGGCGUAUCCAGGAGCUCCUAGCCCACAUAGAGCGCCAGGAGGGGGAGAGUGAGAGGGAGCUAGUCCAGCUCAGGCUACAGGUGUCCCUGCUAGAGAGGGAGAGCACCAGGCUGGAGCAGGAGAACCAGGAGCAGGGAGGUCUCAUCACUGAGCUGACCAGGAAGACUGAGGAUGACCUCAACACUAUCAUAGAGCUGCAGGAAAGACGGGUCGAGAGCAGUCAGCUAGGCCUACAGCAGGAGGACCGUUUGACCACGGAGUCAACGUGCAGGCUUAGAGAGAACAGGGACGAGCUGAUUGGCUAUCUCAGUGAUCUCAAAGAGGAAAGAGAACAGGUGUCCCUCUCACUUAGCAGUCAAACAGAGGAGAAACACCAGCUAACGCGCUCCAUGUGGGUUCUGAAAGAAGAACGCGACCAGAUCCAUAAGUCACUCUGCAGUUUAAAAGAAGAGAAAGAACAGCUGACAAGGUCCCUCUGUGGUCUGAAAGAUGAGAGAGACAAGGUGAUGCGGUCAAUGUGUGGUUUAAAAGAGGGGAGAGAUCAGCUAGUUCAGUCAAUGUCUGGACUCCAGGAGGAGAGACACCAGCCAGUUCAGUCAAUGUCUGGACUCCAGGAGGAGAGAGACCAGCUAGUUCAGUCAAUGUCUGGACUCCAGGAGGAGAGACACCAGCCAGUUCAGUCAAUGUCUGGACUCCAGGAGGAGAGAGACCAGCUAGUUCAGUCAAUGUCUGGACUCCAGGAGGAGAGAGACCAGCUAGUUCAGUCAAUGUCUGGACUCCAGGAGGAGAGAGACCAGCUAGUUCAGUCAAUGUCUGGACUCCAGGAGGAGAGAGACCAGCUAGUUCAGUCAGUGACUGGACUCCAGGAGGAGAGAGACCAGCUAGUUCAGUCAAUGUCUGGACUCCAGGAGGAGAGAGACCAGCUAGUUCAGUCAAUGUCUGGACUCCAGGAGGAGAGAGACCAGCUAGUUCAGUCAAUGUCUAGACUCCAGGAGGAGAGAGACAAGCUCUUGCAGUCUCUCUUCAGCCAAAAAGAUGAGAGAGACCAGUUGAUGCAGUCAAUGUGUGGUUUAAAGGGACAGAGGGACCAGCUAACACAGACACUCAGCCGUCUAGAGCAGGAGAGAGACAAGCUGUCAUCUCUCAGUCUUCAAACACGAAAGAGGUACCAGGUGGACCAGUUUGUCUCUGAUCUAAAAGAAGAGAAGGAGCAGCUAGUUCAGUCAAUGGAUGUUCUGAGAGAACAGAGAGAACAGCUCACAGAGGAGAGAGACCAGUUGCAGAUGGACGUCGCUACUCUACGGAAUCAGCUGCUGUUACAGGGGCGGAGCCACAACCAGCAGCCCUCAGAGAACCAUGUUGGCAAGGCAACACGCACAGAGGUUGUGGCUACAGAGAGAGGGGGUCAGAUGCCAAAAACGCAUGAUGAUGGUGAUGUCACUCAUAGAUGCCUGGCCACGGUCUACUCCUACAAGACCAUCCGUCUGGCGCAGUCUGCACAGGACCAUUUGGGAGAGAAAGAGGGAACAGAUGUGGAGCAGAGUGGACUGAUGAGGGAGAUCGAGUCGCUGGGGUUAGAACUCAGAAGCUCACGAGAGGUACUGAAGAAGACCCAAUCAGAGGCUCAAAGGUGGUACCGUGAGCUGGGUGUGUCUGAGGUCAGACGAGAGGAGGCUGAGAAGAGGGCGGGAAAGGCAGCCAAUAAGGUGAAGAGGGCGGUACAGGCAGCAAAUGAGGUGAAGAGGGUGGUACAGGCAGCCAAUGAGGUGAAGAGGGCGGUACAGGCAGCAAAUGAGGUGAAGAGGGUGGUACAGGCAGCCAAUGAGGUGGGGAUGAGAGAGGAAACCAAAGAGGUGGAGGAGAUGAAGAGGGAAAACCACACACUGAGAGCAGAGUUGGGAGAGGUGAAGAGCAGACUAGUGGGUCUGGAGAGAGAGAAGACCGAUGCUCACUCACUAAGGAUCAAGAUCGAAGAGAAGUUCAGCUUGCUUCAGGCUGAACUCAAAGCCAAGAGUGUUGCUCUGAAGGAGCUGAGUUCAGAGUACACAUCUCUGAAGAGAGAGCAGGGCAGCAGAGAGGACUGGAGCAACACACUCACCUUACUGAGGGUGCGCUAUGAUGACAUCAGAGCUAAGUACAACGUUCUCCUGAGAAAGAGUCAGACGGACCAGGACAUAGCUCCUCUAAAGGCCAAGCUGUCAUGUCUGGUGGGGAAGUGCCAGCAGAGGAACAGUCUACUGGUGCAGUUGAUGCGAGCCCUGCGUCGGUAUGGCUGCCUGGACUACAAUCUGACCCAGGAGGCUGAGGACCUGCUUAACGACACAGCGCUGCAGGACUACGCCAGCACCUUCACACCCCCAUCCACUGCAGCUCUGCAGGAGAACACCCCCCUUCUCCCACCUGCAGCCUCAGAACGACCGGAGCGCUCACAGACCUCUGCUGCAGCCUCCACAGCACAGGAGCUGAGUAAAGCUGUGUCUGAAGGCAGUAGGAGGGAACACUUCAGAGUGUGUGUGGCCACAGCAGACUACUGCCCCUCUCCGAACAUGCCUCACACUCUACUGCCAAUGCUUCCCCUUUCUGCGGGUGAAUCAGUCCAAGUCACUGGACUCCCAGACAGACGUGGGAUGUACCAUGCCGAGGUGAAAGGGAAGUCUGGCCUGGUCCCUGCCCGUUUCUUAGAGGAGAAUGGGAGACCACUCAUCCUGACUUCCCCCUCGCCAGAGAGAUGUGCCAGUCUGACUAGGAAGCUGACCAGUCCAGGGAAGAUCAUCAACCUUCACCAGCAGUUGCAGAACACUCUCUCCAACAGCUACCAGGUUUUCCCUUCCAAGACCAGCCCCCAGGUUUACUCCAGUCCCCCUUCAGGACAGGGGUACUCCCCAGGAUACCCCAACCACAACCCUUCUGCCCCCAACCGACCCAAGCAUACCCUUGUAGCAACUACCCCUAUUAUUACUACUACUAGUCUCCUAUCUACCACUGCCCCCACUAAAACUACCAGUGAUGGUGCUACCUCUCCUAAGCAGACCCCAAACAGAGCACAUCCAACUACCAACCCUCCUGUCCACACCACCACCACCACUACUGCUCUUAGCAGUGGUAAAGAACCCCUCUCUAAAACUGUCUCUAUUGCUGCUACCUCCAAUGUUACAACCCCUGUUAAUACCCCUCCUACCGCUGUGGCCCAGACUGCUAAAGCACAAACUACCACUGCCUUGUGGAACACUGCCCCCACCAAAUCUGCCCCUUCAACUAUUACCGCUGGAACUACAGCCCCCACCAAAAUGGCCCCCAUCACUACUGCUCUUUCCCUUGCUGAGUUGUCACGACUGCCUGAUGAGGACCAUUGCAUCAAGAAGCCCCUCGCAAUCCUCCAACCUGAACAAGCUAAGCCAACCAAACCCAGAGCUAUACCAGAACCUCCAGCUGAGGUGGGCUCUGUUGAGGUCCUCAGGACUGUGGGACAGAGCAGCCUCAUGAUUGGUUGGGAGAGACCGCCACUGGAUGAGCUGGGCUGCAGCAACGGAACCUUUGUGUAUGGAUACAUGGUAGGCUGCUCCUCUCGCCUUGGAUACAUUAGAAUGUAA